rnacentral:rRNA from 1 species
GAUGAACGCUGGCGGCGUGCCUAAUACAUGCAAGUCGAGCGAACGGACGAGAAGCUUGCUUCUCUGAUGUUAGCGGCGGACGGGUGAGUAACACGUGGAUAACCUACCUAUAAGACUGGGAUAACUUCGGGAAACCGGAGCUAAUACCGGAUAAUAUUUUGAACCGCAUGGUUCAAAAGUGAAAGACGGUCUUGCUGUCACUUAUAGAUGGAUCCGCGCUGCAUUUGCUAGUUGGUAAGGUAACGGCUUACCAAGGCAACGAUGCAUAGCCGACCUGAGAGGGUGAUCGGCCACACUGGAACUGAGCCACGGUCCAGACUCCUACGGGAGGCAGCAGUAGGGAAUCUUCCGCAAUGGGCGAAAGCCUGACGGAGCAACGCCGCGUGAGUGAUGAAGGUCUUCGGAUCGUAAAACUCUGUUAUUAGGGAAGAACAUAUGUGUAAGUAACUGUGCACAUCUUGACGGUACCUAAUCAGAAAGCCACGGCUAACUACGUG